GGGAGCAGUAUACUGAAGGGAAAAAGCUGGUCUAUCUCUUCCUGUAUCAUAACUUGGUGAUCAGGAUCUUAUUUUGUGAAUUAAGGUGAAAACACUACUUUCAAGUACACUUGCUACUUACUACCCAAUCACAGAGCAAGAAAAAAUUCCUGUGUGUGUGUGUGUGUGUGUAUACAUGCGCGUGCUUAGUUGCUCAGUCAUGUCUGACUCUCUGCAACCCCAUGGACUGUAGCCCUCCAGGCUCCUAUGCCAGUGGGGAUUUUCCAGGCAAGAAUAUUGAUUGGAGUGGGUUGCCAUGCCCUCCUCCAAGGGAUCUUGCUUUAAUUCCAUGUGUUAAGAGAAUCUAAUUUGAAAAAUAAACAAACCAACCUAUGACUAGAGGAACUUGAUACAUUAAAAAAUAGGAAACUUUGUUUUACAAAGCUUUAUUUUUACAUACAAAUUUCCUUAAAGCAGUACACUUUUCCUCUGAGUUUCUGUACUGCUGCUGCUUCUGUAGUGAGAGGUAAUAAUUCUUUUUCCCAUAAAAUGUAUCUCCUAAAAAUGAAUCCUGCCUUCUAGAUCAACUCUUUCAGUCUGCCGUAGGGGUUUCACUCUAUUUUUUAUUCAUUGGUGAUGUCAGGAUGACUGAGUUUCCAUGUAUCGCCUCUUCUUCCAUCUUCUUUCAUUUCCUACUGUCAUUUUAAAUUCAUUAUAUGCCACUUUCUUACCUACCAGUCUUCUAUUGUCUUUAUCUUAAGCUAAAAUUUUCCUUUUUCCACCAAUUACAAGAUUCCUUUUUCUACUGAAAGUAUAACUGGAAUAUUAGUUUGCAGACUACACAUUGAGAAUUAUUUUUAAUGUGCCCUAAUAAACUAUCGUCCCACCUGGAAUAUUGAAACAUGAGAAAAUGGGUACUUAUACCACUUACAUUUUCACAUUGGAAGUCCUUGUCAGAAGAGAAUCAAUUAGAAAAGAACCUCAGGAAACAGGCUGGCACAGAAGCCAGUGGUAAUGAGGAGGCACAGAGCUAAGCGUCAGUGUGGGCUUGGUUUAAGAAGGCGGCAGAGCAAGAGGAAGCAUGAGCUUUGACAGUGAUCUGUGCUAAGAGACACUCAAGUCACUGGGCUUGAGGCUGGAGAAGGGUAUGGAUUCGAACAGCGGGAGAAGAGAGGGCUCAGCAGGGGCCCCAAUAUACAGACUGCCCAUGAGAGGCGGAGCCCGGGAGCCAGGCCACCCGGUCUAGUCCCGGCUUCACUGAUUACAAGUUCUGUGACCCGGGACUAAUGAGUUAUUAGUUUACAACUAAAACUAAGACUCAGUUUCUGUCUCAUUUUCACCCAUCUAUAACAUGGAGACAUAACUACCUGCCUCAUACAUGUUAAGGAUUAAAUGAGCAAAUAUCUGUAAAGCACCGAGUGCAAUGUCUGGCACAGGACUAGUUUCUGUGAAACUGACUGCAUGCCUACCGUGAACUCAGUUCUAAGAGGGAUAAAAAUUCUCAGACUGUACAUUAGAUAGAGACAGCAAAGGAGAGGGGAGUCUCAGGUGAUGAUAAAGGGAGACUGAGAAGGUAUCCACACAAAGGGACAUGGAGACAAGAGGUGAGUUCUUCAAGGGACAACAUUUAGACAAAAACAGCUGAGGA
ensembl:lncRNA